rnacentral:rRNA from 1 species
GACAGAGGUGCCGAGCGUUAGGCGGAAUCACUGGGCUUAAAGCGUGUGUAGGCGGAUCGUUAAGUACCUUGUGAAAUCCCCCGGCUCAACCGGGGAACUGCUGGGUAUACUGGCGAUCUUGAGCGAUCUAGGGGCAGAUGGAACAAGUGGUGGAGCGGUGAAAUGCGUAGAUAUCACUUGGAACGCCAAAGGUGAAAACAGUCUGCUGGGGAUCUGCUGACGCUGAGACACGAAAGCCAGGGGAGCGAACGGG